GGUGACAGAGUUAGGGAAGGGAUGACUAGUGGCAGAGUGAGGGAAGGAAGGGAUGACUGGUGACAGAGUGAGAGAGGGGGUGACUAGUGACAGAGUGAGGGAGGGAGUGGGUGACUAGUGACAGAGUGAAGGAGGUGGUGACUGUCACUAGUCACCCCAUCCCUCCUUCUGUCACUAAUCACUCACUCUGUCACUAGUCACCCCCUCCCUCACUCUGUCACUAGUCACCCCCUCCCUCUCUCUGUCACUAGUCACCCCCUCCCUCUCUGUCACUAGUCACACCCUCCCUCACUCUGUCACUAAUCACACACUCCCUCACUCUGUCACUAGUCACACCCUUCCUCACUGUCACUAGUCACACCCUCUCUCUGUCACU